AACGAACGCUGGCGGCAGGCUUAACACAUGCAAGUCGAGCGCCCCGCAAGGGGAGCGGCAGACGGGUGAGUAACGCGUGGGAAUCUACCCAUCUCUACGGAAUAACGCAUGGAAACGUGUGCUAAUACCGUAUACGUCCUUCGGGAGAAAGAUUUAUCGGAGAUGGAUGAGCCCGCGUUGGAUUAGCUAGUUGGUGGGGUAAAGGCCUACCAAGGCGACGAUCCAUAGCUGGUCUGAGAGGAUGAUCAGCAACACUGGGACUGAGACACGGCCCAGACUCCUACGGGAGGCAGCAGUGGAGAAUAUUGGACAAUGGGCGCAAGCCUGAUCCAGCCAUGCCGCGUGAGUGAUGAAGGCCCUAGGGUUGUAAAGCUCUUUCACCGGUGAAGAUAACGACGGUAACCGGAGAAGAAGCCCCGGCUAACUUCGUGCCAGCCGCCGCCGUAACAC
rnacentral:rRNA from 1 species